AUGGGAGAAGGGGAAUUUGGCGUGGGAAAAGAAAAGGAGGGGGAGAGGCCAUUUUCUUCUUCUUCCUCCUUUACUCACUGCAUCCCUUGUAAACUAUUUUCAACAUAACUUCCUCAUACGAUAAUGAAAUCACACGAGGUCGGAAGCUAUACUUUCGUAGCAAAGCCGUCUUCAAUCUGAUACCAUACCCACCCUUUGAAAACCAGUGUACAAAGAAAACGAGGUCCAAACAUAUUGACGUUUUCCGGUGACUUUCCUCCGAUUUCGGCCAACCUCGCUGGAACCUGGCCUCGACCCAAGUGAAAACAAUGAUUCUUUCCCGGCAUUCAAUACGGGAGUUACGUGGAAAAGAAGUGGAAAAUGAGCUUUUUAGGUGUCUAAAGUAAUUCCAGUGGAACAAGAGGCUAACUAGCUGUGCAAAUACAUGUGCAUUACAACAAGAAGAUGAGACUGCAACGGUUUUGGAAAUCAAAUGGACAUGGGAAUGCUAUUCAAUGGACUUUAGGAGGGACUUAAUUUCUAGUUUUUAUUAUUUCCGUUUAUUUUUCCUUUUCCUUAAUAAGGUUUUAAAGUCCAUUAUGCUUAAGAGUUUAGUGGGGUUUUAAUUGGAUUUCAAUUAGCUUUAAAUGCCCUUUGCCGUGGGUGUUAUAUUAAGGAGAUCCAUUCUCCUUGAUUAAGGAGCCAUAAAAACAAAAAAAUAAUAAUAAUAAUAAUAAAAAUCAGCUAUUCAUAUUUCAAAAGGGGCUGCGGCAAGAAGUGAGAAAAAGGGCAGAGUUUUCCUUUUUUUUUUUUCUUUCUUUGCUAGGGCUACGAUGUAGCCUAAUCAUGAAUGCUUAAUUGCCUUGUGGCAUUGUUAUAUUCA
rnacentral:sRNA from 1 species